CCUGAUAGCCUAGGAUCCCAGGUCGACGCUUAACCGCUGAGCCAUGCCCGGCCGGGUGACAUGUAGUUUUUAAUACAUGGAUUUGAUCACAGCCCUAUGUCUUUCAGACUCCACAGUGUGUUUAUUUCUUCACAGGUACUCUCUUUUCUGCUGUGGCCUGUGUGAAUGGCUUGGCCAUGCUGAUGGCCUCUGGCAUCUUCAACUCGCUCUACCCAGCCACCCUGAACUUCAUGAAAGGGUUUCCCUUCCUGCUGGGAGCUGGCCUCCUCUUCAUCCCUGCCAUUCUGAUUGGGAUGCUGGGAAAGGCUAAUCCUCACUCUGAAUUCCAGCAAUUUCCCCAGAGCCCCUGAUCUGCCAGGACCAGAGGACAGAGGCCAAGAGGAGUGAAGUGAGCACUAACCAACUGGAAGUAUGCACCUGGGACCCACCCACAGCAGCACCAGCAGCUCCCCUCAAAGGCAGUGUUCACCUUGGAUAAGGUGGUCAAGCUAGACCAAGGCCCCCACCUCAUUCAUAGCUGUGCCAGCCUGUGACUCAAGGAUCUAGAAUUGUAACCCAGUCUGUCUGACUCCAGGGCAGGCAGUUGGGAAGCCAUUUGGAACAGGGGUCUGUUUACCCUUUAUGCCGUCAAUCGCAUAAAACCCUGAAGGGGAGAAGACAGGUCCUGAUAGAGGUGAUGCCUCAGGGACCAGUGGAAGCAUGAGCGCUGGCAUCUCCGCUUCCAACCAAAGCUGCACAGCUCACAGUGCACAGUCCACGGUGGACAGCCACCAGCCACUCCUUAAUGAUGAAUACUUCGAGGGGAGGAAGAGUUGGGAAUGGAGAGAGUGCUUCUCACUUAGUGGAAUCAAUCCCCUCGGCUUAGCAGUGCCAAUCAUACUAAUAAAGCAGUAUAAGCACACUGAAAUGAACCUUCCGGCACCCAA